rnacentral:rRNA from 1 species
UACGGAGGAUCCAAGCGUUAUCCGGAAUCAUUGGGUUUAAAGGGUCCGUAGGCGGUUUGGUAAGUCAGUGGUGAAAGCCCAUCGCUCAACGGUGGAACGGCCAUUGAUACUGCUGAACUUGAAUUAUUGGGAAGUAACUAGAAUAUGUAGUGUAGCGGUGAAAUGCUUAGAUAUUACAUGGGAUACCAAUUGCGAAGGCAGGUUACUACCAAUUGAUUGACGCUGAUGGACGAAAGCGUGGGGAGCGAACAGG